rnacentral:tRNA from 1 species
GUUAUUUUGGCAGAAAUUAUGUGUAAGAUUUAGGAUCUUAUAAAAUAGGUUUAUCCUAUA